UGCUCAACCCGGGUCCCUCCUCCGCACCCUGCCCCGCAGGUGAGCGGCUGCGCCUCCCCACUGCUUCUCCUCCUCCCGCGCCUGGCUGGCGCUGAAAAGCUACCCACUUGCGUCGCUUCUCCUCCCCCUCCCCUCCCCCGCCUCCAGCUCUCCUCGGCCGCCCGCUGGGGGGGGGGGGGGGGGAGAACGGCGAGAAGGAGGUGGUGAUUGAGGACUUUUUUUUCUUUUCCCAGAGCCUGUAGGACGAGUCCUAGUGCUGUGUGUGUGUGUGUGUGUGUGUGUGUGUGUGUGUGUGUGUGCGCGCGCGCGCGCGCGCGUGCGCGCGCCUAGAGGAAAAAAUCAGGCAACUUGCUGAGAGAAGGAAGGACCCAGCGCUUCCUGUAACCCACGAAGAAGCACCCUUUGCCCGCGUGAAAUUGACAAGAAAUUCUGCUGAGAAGGUUUAACUUCAACAUCUAAGUAUCCCCUCUCUUGUCCCACACCCCCCAACCCCGACCUUCCUCUGCAAGUCUCUCCCCCCACCCUCUUUCCCGCCUCCCUCUCUCUCCCUCCCUCCCUCCCUUUGGCAGGGCUACGAAGAUGAAAGAGAAGCCGCCGCAGCUGUGAUCGACACCACAUUGAUAGAUGCUCUGACAGGGCGGAUGAGGCGGGAAUUGGGGACAGAGAGAAGGAAAAGGGGAAAAUAUAACAGACAUUGCUCAACUAAGAGAACGGAAACAAGAAGGACAAGGAAGAGAGUUGUGGGUUUCCGAAAAUAUAAUGUCAAAGGACAAGAGAACGCAUGCUAGCAAAAAUUAAAUCUCCAGGCUUCCCGAGAAAAAUAGGACACAGAAGAAAAAAACUGAAGACUGGAUCUUAAUUACCGCCUUUUAAAACAAGAUCUCUUUCAGUACAUCCUCACCAUGGGAUGUACAGAGAAAGUUGUGCUAGGUUUCUCGUGGAAUUUGGGAGAUACACACCACCAGUGUAUGGGAACCAAAUAGAGAAUGAAAAAACAACCCAAGGAGGGAGAGAGAAGGCAAAAGGACCCAGGAGUGCGAUGCCAGUAGAGGGAGGGAGGACCGGGCAGUCUCUGGCACCUCGGACUGCGCACUCAAAGAGACCCUUGAAGAUGCAAAUCCGAAUCCGACCUCAAAAAUUCCCCAACCUCCACCAUCUCUUUGAUGCAUUUUGUACAAGGACAGAACUUUUAAGGAGAUGCUUUGUGAAAGUUACAGUAUAAGUGAAGCUGAAGUUUGAAAACAUGUUACAUUUUGUUCCUUGGCUCUCAAACCCCCUCAGUUAAAAAUCCAGGCAAAAUUAUUAUACCCAAUACACUAGCCAUCUGUAAAACCUCAGAACAGUAAACAAGAAGCAGGGAGAAAUGUGUCUCCAUCUACCUUAAAUUGAAAAUAAGGAAAACACUACAGAAUCAGACGUUAGCUCUAUUUUAUAGGAAACAGUCAUGCAAGGAUCCCUCUUUUCCCCGGGGGGGGGGGGGGGAAUUGCAAGCUGCUGGACAUUAUAUAAGUAAAGACCUUAACAGUGCUCAAAAUGAGCACUUAAAACUUUGCCUACUGCUAACUACUUCCUAGGGAUGGGAAUUUACUAGGAAGCAAUUUUUUAAAACUAUCAUUUAGAGGGUUCAGUUGGUCACAUACAGCACUGUCAGUUGUCACACAUAUUCUAUCCGCAGGGAUUGGGGCAAAAUUAAGGGGCUGGUGAUGGGAGCCGGGAAGAGUAAAGCAUUAAAUACACUUUAAAUGCUGACAAUGCAAAGCCUUAGAGAAGAAAAACAAAAAGAAUAUUCUGCUGUUAAAAUGUGUCUGUAAGAUAAUACUGAAAAGAUUGGCAAGAAACCCAUUUUUUAAAUUGGUGGCAGUAGUGAACUUGUCUUGAAGUUAUGUACCAAUGUGAGUGCAAAGUACUAGGGCUGUAAACAUGUAGCUAUGACAUUAAUACCUUCUGUUCUAAAAGAAAUAUGGGAAAGCAAAGUCAAAAGUUCUCCCACAAAUGUGCCAAUUUGGCUGAUAGGAAAAGAACUGGGAAAUGCAAGUUUCACUAAAGUAGCCAGAGUAGAGGUUCCUUUGCAUCAAAAUGUUGAGGAGGGGCGGGGCGGGGGGGGGCCGCAGCACACAGAAUGGCCAGAGGAUAUUUUCUGGAAGCCAAAAAGAUAUUAAGUGGCAACUCCUACAUCUCCCUGUUUAAGUGUUACAACUAAUUCGAAUCCCAUUUUCUCCUUCAUGUUAAUUAUCUGGACUCCCGAAGUCAUUUGGAGAUCCCGUUCAGGUGUCCUGGGGAUUAGAAGCUCGAGAAGAUGGGGAUUUGGGGAAUAAUAACUUGUGGGAACUGUUUACUUGAAGGGCCGAGGGUAGGUGGCUGUGUUUGGUACUUUUCGGUAACCCUCUCCUAUGGAAACAUUGUUUCUAACGAAAUCACCGAGCGCUUUGCUCUGUUUAUGUGGCUGUUUGUCCUCCCCGAGGCGUGCGGGUGUUGACUGUCCCUAGCGUUGUUGCUAAUCUUGAGACGGGCUGUACUUAAAGGGGGCUUUACCAGAAAACAUUCACCCAAGUAUAUUUGAAGCUUUGUCUGAGAAGGAGGUUGACAUCUCCACGUGAAGUCUCUCUCUCCUGGGGCGGGUGGAUGGGGGUUGGAAAGCAGGGGAACUCAGGAGGGGUGCAGUAACCCCGGCAAGAAGUUCCUUCUCCUCUAACAGGUUCGGUGAUGUUGCAGGCAAAGGCAUUUCUGUCGCCGGGAGGUCUUUUCUAAUUCGUGUGGGGGCUGCUAUUACAUAUGCAAGCCGCCGCUUUGGGUGCACAGUCCGGGAUGUGGUGGGUGCGGCGCGGGAGAAACACCGCCGCCCGCCGCCCCCUUCCCUCGGAUGUAGAGGCGGGUUGUUCGUGUGAACUCGAGCGAACGACUAGAGGUUGGCUGUUGCAGGUUCACUCCGUCAGGAUGUGGGUUUCAGGGGGCGUUUUGAUGUGAUUUAAUUCCGACCGUGAAACAAUUGCUAGGGGCUGGCUGUAUUGCUGUUGGUUUUUCCCCUCUUGGUGGCUUUGGUUGGUUUGGGUUUAGUUUGGGAGCGAACAGUGACUUGUUUUAUAUCAACACUUCCCUCGGUGCCGGGCGCCGUCGCCGGCGCUGCGCGUGGGGGACAAGGCGCCCACCCGGGGCCGGAACCGAGGAGAGGGGGGAGCGGAGACGGGCCUCGCAGUCCGCAGGGUAAACGCGGCCCAGGCCCCCGCGGGUGCAGACAGGGGAGCUAGAAUGACCCCCACUCCCACCAGAGACCCCUCCCCCCUGGCGAUUUUGCUGCCAAGCGGACUCAGCUACAGACACUCAAGCCCCUUUGUGUGACUAAAUUUGGCAAGAAUAUGGAUCCGAGCCAGUCUUUCCACGUGUGCUCCCAGCUCCCAGCUGAGAAGGCCAAGGGUUCUCUUCCGGGAAAACCAAUUCGGCUAUUAAGAGAACCUCUCAACAGAGCAGAGGAGGAGAAGGCAAGGUUUCAGAAAGAAGAGCUGUUUACCAUCAAAGCAAACUGGGUUCCACACAGACAUAGCGUAUCAUACACAAAGACAAAGUUCUGGAGGUUGGAGGUCCAAAAUGAGUCUCACUGGGCUAAAAUCCAGGAGUUGGCAGGGCUGUGUUCCCUUCUGGAGGCUCUGCGGGGGAGAAUCUGUUUCCUCGCCUUGUCCAGCUUCCAGAGGCCGCCUGCGUGCCUUGGCUGGUGGCCCCUGUCUUCGUCUUUGCAGCGGGCAGAGCCACCCCUUGCUGCAAAGAUGUCUAAGACAGGAUUAUUAAUUGGAUACCUUGCUCCUUUGGCAACACUGGAGUUCUGUUAGCAAGUAAAUAGGAAAGAAUGGACACCAGGUGCUGGAUAAAACCCAUUAGGAGAACAUGAGUCAAGUUUACUCAUCCAGACUGAAUAUGUCACAUUCACACCUUCUUGACCCAAGAUCUGCUGAAUAUAUAAACUGUUUUGGGGAAAAGACAGGCCUGCUCAGCCUAUGAAGUUUCCUAUCUAAAAGUUAAUCUUCUGAAAUUCCUUAGGAAUUUAAGGAAACCUAAUCUUUUGGUGUGUCAACAAAAGGGCCUGAGUAUAUUGCUUUCCCUCUGACAUUCAGGAGCCUCAGAGUGCCCGAGUGGCCCCUAGCAGGAGCUGGUGCUUACCAUGGCCAAGCAAAUCCAGCCAUUCUUGUUUGGUUGCCUAUUAAGUAAUUACCUUCGGGAAACUUCACCUCUGCCAUUAAAAAUUCUCUUUCUCUCUUAAGAGAGCUUGAAAGAUGUGGGGGUGAAUUGAGGAGGGGAGGCGUAAUAUCCUUGAAGAGGAAAGUUAAAAGGAACUGGGAUUUGGUUAAAAUAGAAGUUUAGAUUAUCAAGGGAGCAGGUUAUUGAGGGAGAGAAGAAGAGUCAUAGUUUAAAAAACACGUUGAUAUUUUACAUGUUUCAGUGAGUGCUUCAUCUCUAUUUUCGCCAAGGAAAAUAAAUGCAUUUAACGGAUUUUUAAAAGUUUUCAAUAGUCUAUUUAUUAGAAAGAAAAAAGAACUUGUAAAAAAGUCUCUUAUGGUAUGCUAGUAAAUGCUCAAAAACUGGCUGUCUCAGCGAGGGGAGGGCCUGCCCUGAUCUGUAGCGUUUGUCAAUUUCCUUGGUGUAAAUGCUCCCAUGAUGGUGGAUCCUAUAAAUGUAAAAAUGUGAAGCUGGGGAGAGACGUAGAGAAACACACCAUUAUUCUUUCCAUCGUACAGUUCCAAUAAAUGGAGAUAACCUGAGGAAUGUAGACAACAGUAAAAAGUUGUAAAACAAACAAACAAGGAAGUGAUGAGUUCUGAGUACUUUUUAUCUUUGUUUUUAAUCCAACUUAAUGAUAAGUUUAUAUAAAUUAAUUUUUAAUUCUGACUGUGUUUAACAACCAGCUCACAACUUUUCCUGAACAUUUAAGGUGGCUCUCAAGAACCAGUAUAAGCUCGUUCUAGCAUGUCACUAAAUACAUGUAUGGUAUCUGUGGAAAGGGGUUUGGAAGGUCACAUCCCAAAUUACUGACCGUGGUAAUUACCUCUUGGUGGGGAGUUGUCAUGGUAUGUGGAAGGGGACCUACGUGCGUGCGUUACUCUGUAUACUUUUGUGUGUAUUGCUAGUAUAAUAAAAGUGAAUACAAGAUGGUUUUUAUAAAAUA